rnacentral:rRNA from 1 species
CCUACGGGUGGCUGCAGUGGGGAAUAUUGCGCAAUGGGGGAAACCCUGACGCAGCAACGCCGCGUGAUUGAAGAAGGCCUUCGGGUUGUAAAGAUCUUUAAUUCGGGACGAAAAAAAUGACGGUACCGAAAGAAUAAGCUCCGGCUAACUACGUGCCAGCAGCCGCGGUAAUACGUAGGGAGCAAGCGUUAUCCGGAUUUACUGGGUGUAAAGGGCGCGCAGGCGGGCUUGCAAGUUGGGAGUGAAAUCCCGGGGCUCAACCCCGGAACUGCUUUCAAAACUGUGAGUCUUGAGUGAUGGAGAGGCAGGCGGAAUUCCCAGUGUAGCGGUGAAAUGCGUAGAUAUUGGGAGGAACACCAGUGGCGAAGGCGGCCUGCUGGACAUUAACUGACGCUGAGGCGCGAAAGCGUGGGGAGCAAACAGGAUUAGAUACCCCUGUAGUC